GGUCGGGUCCGGUAUGACCCGUUGGGUUUAGUGGUUAAAUGAUUUUUUAUUUUUUUUAGAUUUUUUUUGAAAAAACAACCCAAAAUCUCAAAAAACCCUAAAACUAAAGUAUCAUACUCAGGAGUCGUCAAACGCCCAAACACUAUCUCUCUUUCCUCUCAAGCUCUCAUCCUCCCUGGUUUACUGGCCGCAUAUCUAAGCUCUCAUCCUCUCUGGUUUAUCGACCAAGGCUGCUGCUGCUUUCAUGCUUUCUCAUCCUCUCUGGUUUAUCGACCAAGGCUGCUGCUGCUUUCAUGCUUGUUGCUUGCUGCUGAUUCUUUCAUGCUUGCUGUUGUAUUUCUCUAGAAAUUGGGAGGUAGCGGUUCUAAAUUGCUCAACCACAACAUUAGAUCGAUGAACAAGUACCCCUAGCUUAGCUAUAUUACUCUGUGAGUCUAUGUGUUUUAAAGCUUAACAUUUUGAAAAGCCACGUACUCCACAUUCUUGAAUUGGGAACUUGCGAAGCAAAUGCUAAUACAAGAAGUGAAUUUAAGUUGUUAAAUUGUAAUUUAUGUUACAAGGGACAAGGCCACUAGGAACAAUGGCUAUGAUUUUUGGCUCACUCCAUAUCUUCCUUUCUCAACUCCCGAACUUUAAUUAUGUUUCUUGGGUUUCUUUAGCAGUUGAUGUUAUAUCACUCAGGCUAGUUGAGUCCUUGUGUUGCAGUUGUAAUUAAGCACAUACAGUACCAGGUUGAUCCUGAUAUUUGUCUACUUGAUUUUGAACAUUGUUAAAAUGAUUUCAUCUCUCUUUAUUAAAAUGCUUUACACUUGAUUUUACUACUAUUGUUAAAAUGUCCAAUUGGUGUAACUUUAAAAUGCACCUGAUAAUCUGACAUCAUUACUAUUUAAUGAGCAGACGAUACUAUAUUAUUAUCAAUUGGAUCUCUCAAUGUUAAAAAUUUAAAAUGCUUUUAAUUUCAUGCACAUCUAGGUUCAUUAUACGAGUAACUAAUAGUAAUAAUAAUAAUCAUUUAACCCGUUGGGUCAAUCCGAAUCCGUAAAAAAACAUAUAAUAAUAAAAAAUAAUACAUAAUAAAAAAGUUUAAUAAAAGCUCUCAACCCGUUGGGUCAACCCGAACCCGAAAACUCUGGGUCUUGAACAAACAUUUAUCAACCCGAACCCGAAAGUGACCGACCCGAUAAAACCCGAACCCGAAGUUGACCGACACUGACCCGACCCGACCCGUUUGACAGGUCUACCCUAGGCCCUUAUUUAUAGAGGUAUGGAAAAGGAAUUGUAAUCCUACUAGGAUGUGGAUUUGUUAAUUAGAACUUUAUUAGGACUCUAAAUAACAAAGCAAAUCUAAUAGGAUUAGGAUUUUAAUCUUCGCACGAAUCCUAAUAGGAUUAGGAUUUCCCGCAAACGCAUCGUACAAGCCGUGCACCCGCGCAGGCCUUGCGGCCCACGACAAGCGCACAGCCCAUGUGCGGUGCUGCGCGCGCGCGCGCCCUUGGCUGGGCCUGGCCUUGCGCUGGGCCUGGUCGAGGCGUGCGUUGCUGCGUGCGGCUCGCUGGGCGAUGGCCUGGCUUCGUGCUGGGCCUUCGUCUAGCGGGCCUCGUCCAAUGCUAAUUCGUACGAUACGCUUCCGAUUAAAUUCCCGAUUCCGGAAUUCAUUUCCGAUACGAACAACAUUUAAUAUUUCCGAUUCCGGAAUUAAUUUCCGUUUCGAACAAAUAUUUAAUAUUUCCGUUUCCGGAAUUAUUUUCCGAUUCCGAUAAUAUUUCCGAUUCUGACAAUAUUUCCGUUUCCGGCAAUAUUUCCGAUUCCGGCAAUAUUUCCAUUUCCGAUAAUAUUUUCCGAUACGUACCAUGUUUCCGUUUCCGGCAAUAUCUACGACUUGGAUAAUAUUUAUAUUUCCGAUACGAUACAUAUUUCCGUUUCCGGCAAUAUCAUCGUUUCCGGAGUAUUCAUUUCUUGCCUGUGACGAUCUCAGCUCCAACUGAAACCAAGAUCCGUCGAUUCCGAAUAUCCAUAGAUGGAGUAUUUAAUGCCAUUAAAUACUUGAUCCGUUUACGUACUAUUUGUGUGACCCUACGGGUUCAGUCAAGAGUAAGCUGUGGAUUAAUAUCAUUAAUUCCACUUGAACUGAAGCGGCCUCUAGCUAGGCAUUCAGCUCACUUGAUCUCACUGAAUUAUUAACUUGCUAAUUAAUACUGAACCGCAUUUAUUAGACUUAAUAUUAUAUGCAUACUUGGACCAAGGGCACUAUUUCCUUCAGGACGUGCUGUGGACUAUCUACGGAGGGACGACACUUGGAGUCCUAAAGACUUGUUCUUGUUCGGUUCGGGCGCAGCUAGGGAGGGCACGCUACAAAGUGUAUGCAUCUGAAUUAUCCUAAAUGAUUAUGUGUAAAUAAUAUGUUUCCUGGCUUUAUGGUUUUUCCGCAUGAUUUAUGUUUAUUCAUAUGUAUCAUAACCUAACAAUUUGAAGUAGGAAAAUCAAAGGAACAUGAUUGAAUAUAGUGGGAUUCGGAAUUACCUAUUUAGGUUUAGGCAAGAAUUCCUUUUAGAGCUCCCAAUUGCUUAGAAUUUGUAGUUUAUAUGUGUUUUUUGAAGGAUUUUGAUUUGUAUUUUGAAGCGUAAUUUUGGUAUUACGACGUUGUAUUUGAAAUCUGCCUCCCAUAAUGCUGGGAAUGAGGGGGUUUUUAUAGGAAAAAUGGCCGCAAAACGCCAGCCAUCGCCAGCGCAGCACGCAGCUGGCACCGCUGGGCGCUGGUGACGUGGCAUGAAUGCCGCCAAAAAGGACGGAAAGAUGUCGUCCUUGAUUUAUCUUGUAUGGGUGUACCUUCGUACGAAUAGUACGAUGUUUUGCGUGUAGUGUUUUCUUGGAGGUUAAGACUUGAUUUUGCGUCUAAAAACAAGCCGUUUCGGGUUUUGAACUUCGGUUUUACGGGACGAGGCCCGGCUUGCUCGGUUUUGUGGGUCGGCGCCCGAAUUUGACUUGCCUUAUAUGAUUUUGAGUGGAAAAGGCCUAGUAAAACCAAUGGAAUGGUCUACUAGAUGAGAUUGUACUUGGAUUUUGAAAUUGGAUUUUGAAACUUGUAUUUUGUACCGAGUUCCGAAAGGGGAACGGUCUCGGGAAUUGGAUUUUGGAUCUUGUAUUUUGGAGAUGUUCUUAGCAAUUGGGAUUUCUGCACGGAGUUGCUCCAACCGCCUAGUAAGGAUAAUGGUAUCUUCAUCAUCCCAGAGGGGAGACACAAAUUAGGUGUCUACAUAAUCCCCCACUUUGACUGAGCGUUCGGUCGAGAAAGCGCAAGUCAAAGUAUUUCGAAAGGGACGGAGAAUGAUCAAGAUGUUCUGCAAUCAAGACCACUCUUUGUACGCCGGUACCUGCACAAAACAAGCGUUAGAAAAAAGGAUAGAGUCUACCUCCGUGCGGCAGUGAUGACUCCGAUUUGUAUUUGUACUGCACUUCCGUCUUUGAAUUGGGACGAAGCUUGGCAUCAAAAAUUUUGAAUCUUUGAAUUUUUGAACCUUGAAUUUUGAAUCUUGAAUCUUGAAUUUUUGAAUUUUGAACGCCCGGAGUUGAUCCGUUGGGGAUGUGCUUUGCUGGGGAUAAGAGCUUUUCACUGGCCCUAAGAUUUUCAAAUUUCGGCUGACUUUCCUGGAGCUUGGGUCCGUUGGGAGUCGAACGCCUGAGUCAUUGUAUUUUUUGGACUUUGUAUUCUUGAAAUAUUCAUCUGUUUGUACUUGGAGAUACAGGUGUAUACCCGCAUUUUCGAAAGAUGGCCUGAUGCGACGUUUGAUGCUUGGUGCAGAAGACCGUAGCAGUAAAGGAUGUGCAAUCAGCACGGGAGACCGUGCACGGCGGAAUCUGCGCAUGCAGCGCUGGGCGCAGGGCUCCGCGUCCAACGCGGGGCUGUGCUAUAUAAGCACCCAUUGCCGUGCCAUUUUGAGGCACAUUUUGAAAAUUUUCUUGAAUGUUGUACCUGGUAUUGAUAGAUAGUAGUCUCACUGGUGACCUUGCGGGAUCUCAGGAUAAAAUAGCCGAAUGAAGAGCUUGCCCGGCUCUAUGUGAAUGCUAGGGGCGAUGCUGUUUGCCGUUCUUGGAGGGACUUUGUACACAGGAAGGGUAGCUAUGAUGACUUCCUGAGGAGGCUGGCUCCACCAGUACGCUUCGUACUGCCGGAGGAGGAGGUUGAUCCUGAGGACAUUCCCCAUGCUGAUAGGAUCCUCCGCUAUGAGAACUCGGACGGGGAACAGGUGGAGGUGACCAUUCCUGUAGCUUCUCCUCCGCACCGGAGAUCGUAUGAUGCUAUACCUGAGCAUUAUGCCGCUGCGCCUCGGACGAGAGUACGUCGCUGGAUGCUCUUGAUUGAUUCCUGGAAGAGGCAUUGUGCCAAGCUGACCAGGAAGCUUUAUGGCCGGGACAGAGAGGAGCGCCGUCGAGACCGUAGAGGUUCCGUUGAUAGGGAGCCCCAGGCGGAGACGUCCUUGAGGCAGGAGGGUCCGAGCUUGGAGCUGGGACAGGGGUCUGGUGCUGGUGCCCAUCAGAGGCAUUCUGAUGCUGAGCGGUGAGCUUUCCAUUUUGUACAUGCUGAUCCUACCAGGCAUUCGUUUGGAGGUGCAAGCAGUUCGAGGCCCUUUGUUUCUCCUCCCGGUUACUACUUCGGAGGGAGUGGUCCUCAGCCUUAGGGUGAAGAUUCAUGGGCAUACUAUGCGGAGAUGGAGAGGAUGCGUCAGGCUCAGAUGUUUGCGCCGUACCAGUUCAUGGCGAUGCCGCCGCCUUAUCAGUAUCCUUCUCCUCAGCAGGGAGUUCAUCCCUCUCCUGGCACUCUUCGUAUCUUGGAGCAGGAUCCUAAUACCCCUGGGACGGAGCUGGAUCAGGAUCUGGAGCGCCUUAGGAGGCGGAACAGAGACAUGACGCAUGUGGUUGACAUCACCGCUGAUGAUGAUUCAGACUGACCCUGCAUGGUAGCGAGUUCCACCUUGUCUGGGUUGAUUUUGUAUAGGCUGGAUUGUAUUUGUAUGGAUUUCUAUGGUUUGAAACUUGAAUUUUGUAUGGUUGUAUGGUUUUGAUCUUGAAUUGAUUUGGAAAUUUUUUGAAGAUUGG